CCCUUCGUUGACGAACUGUUCAGUGUAUGCUGUCAAUUGUUAAUUAAUUUAAAUGAAAAUUGAAAAGACUCGAAAUUUUUACCAACUGUUGGCAUAGGGUAUAUAAUGAAUGAUGACACCCUCCCCCUCCCCCGCCUUUUUCUGUAAAGUCUUGUGACCCAUCCCCUUUUUUUACCUAGCCACCCCCUCGAUAAAUAAUGACCGGUACCUUAUGUAGAAUUGCAAUGUUUAAGAGUUAUUUCAUUCCCAUUGUUGCAUGUGGUUCAAUUAAUCAUUCUUCGUUUUGUUUGUUGACAAGUAUCGUCCAUUGGAAGUAUUUUCUUUAUUUCUAAACAUAUAUAAAUGAAGUAUAAAUUGAGGAUAGUUUGUUACUGUUGAUUUUAGAAUUAUUCAUGAAAAUGAGUGAAACGUUUUGUUAUUUGAUUUAGCGAAGUUAUACACUCGCUCAACUGCCAAUUUG